GUGCUCACUUCAGCAGUACAUAUACCAAAAUUGGACUGAUACAGAGAUUGGCAUGAUUUCUAUGCUAAGAUGACAUGCACAUUUGUGAAGGAUUACUUAUUUUU